AACAAAAACAAAAAUAGCAAAACGAAAACGUUGAUCCUUCGCAGAAGCGUAAACUGGCGAACGCUCCCCGUUGUAAGUAAAUGGACAGCGAGGAAGAUCAGUAUCGCCAACAGGGUUUUGUGUCAUUCUGGACGUACAUCAGGAUCACCGCUGUCUCGAGUCGCUGUCAACGAGACCUACCAAUUGCUCGGCUCAAUUCAGGGGGCUGAUUGCGAUGGAGCUCCGCAUUUGUUAAUUUGUGAAGACAAUGCCAGUACGAUAUCAGAUUGGUGAUCUGUGCCCGGCUAGAUCUCCUCCCGAGGACCUGUGCUCGUCGCUCCGCUUUAGCUUUUCUUAUAAGAUUGUUCUCGGACACUGAUCGUGAGGUUUACAGAUAAAAAGCCACCGGAGUCGAGAGAUUCGCUACGAGAAAGCAAGCUGGUUUCCAGUACCCCUCUCUCAAGAUCUCUUUUGGAAGGGACUGUGGAGAUAUAGCCGUCCAUAUUCCCAUGUUUCAAAGCUUUGGACGCUAGAAACACACACGACGGACAAACAAGCUGUGGCUUAAAAGGGUGGCCUUUUGCAUUUUGUACCACCCUCAGAGUAAUGGUGAACAUGUGCUCGCUGGCUUUCUAAA